CUACGGGGGGCUCCAGUAAGGAAUAUUGCGCAAUGGAUGCAACUCUGACGCAGCCAUGCCGCGUGCAGGACUGAAGGCCUUAUGGGUCGUAAACUGCUUUUAUUUAGGAAUAAACUCUUGUACGUGUACGAGACUGAAGGUACUAAAUGAAUAAGCACCGGCUAACUCCGUGCCAGCAGCCGCGGUAAUACGGAGGGUGCAGGCGUUAUCCGGAUUUAUUGGGUUUAAAGGGUGCGCAGGCGGACUAUUAAGUCAGAGGUGAAAUCCCGGGGCUCAACUUCGGAACUGCCUUUGAUACUGGUGGUCUUGAAUGCGGUUGAAGUAGGCGGAAUGUAGCAUGUAGCGGUGAAAUGCAUAGAGAUGCUACAGAACACCGAUCGCGAAGGCAGCUUACUAAGCCGAUAUUGACGCUCAGGCACGAAAGCGUGGGGAGCGAACAGGAUUAGAUACCCGUGUAGUC
rnacentral:rRNA from 1 species